GAAGGACAAAAGAGAAUGGAAGAGAGAGGGAGAGUGAGUGAGAGAAAAAGAGAGGUUAAAAGAAAGAGGGAUGGAGAGGGAGAGGGAUAAAGUGUUUGAAAGAGAGAGGGAGAGAGAAAGGGAGGGAGAGUGAGUGUCAGAGAGAGAGAGAGAGAGAGAGAGAGAGAGAGAGAGUUAGAAAGAGAGAAGGAGAGAGAGAGGUAGAGAAGGAUGGAGAGGGAGAUAGAAAGAGUGUGUGAG
rnacentral:lncRNA from 1 species